CAAGUAAACUAGGUGGUCAAUCCGACUUUACGUCGGAUAGGAAAGUCCGAACACCUCAAAUCGGUAGUGGGUAACGCCCACCUCCAGACUGGUGACAGUCGGGAAGGACCAGUGCCACAGAGACAAUACUAGCGAGCGUAAGCGAGCUACUCCGCCCUUUUUUGUUCUUAAUAAUCCAAAUAUGUAUCACGUUUAUUUACUGAGAAGUAAUACUUAUAAUAAGAGACUUUAUAUCGGAUUUACUUCCAGAAAAAUCAACGAGCGCAUUAAAGAUCAUAAUUAUGGUAAAGUUAAUGCGACAAGGCUUCAUCGGCCUUGGAAAUUGAUUUACCUAGAAACAUAUGUAUCUGAAAGCGAUGCCAGAGAGAGAAAAGAUGUUGAAGCAAUAUGGUAGUUCUUGGGGUCAUUUAAAGAAAAGAUUAUUUGAUACAUUAAAAAAUAAGGACUAAAAAGGGCGGGGUUCGCUCGGCCGACUUACGUCGGCCUCGCAAAAGGUGAAAAGUGUUAUGAUGUUUUGGGCUGAAUACGGGAUAUCCCUUCAGAACAAAGCUACUUAACUCAACUUCUGGUAACAGAAGAUUAGUGGUAAACUCUACCUGGUGCAAUGCCAAAUUAGGUAGGCAGCUUGAUCCCAAUGGUAACAUUGGGGCUAGAGAGAUGACCAUCCGCCUUCGUUCGCUAGCGCUCACUUCGGCGGAUAAAUCCCCUUGCUUGGAGAUUUAUCUGCCGAAGCUAGAGCGUAAGCGAGAGCGUAGGCAGACAGAAUUCGGCUUAUCGGUUUAUUUGGACA
rnacentral:RNase_P_RNA from 2 species